AAUUAUGUACAUACAUCAUCACGUGUAUUGCAUAAUAUUAAAAUAUUUGUUUUUGAUUCCCCUUCGUCUUCUAUAUAUUGGCUUUUGACAGUACCUACACAAUAAUACAUGAUUGAUAUUGAUGGAUAGGUUUUCCAGCGAGUAACCGACUCCAGGCACUAGUAAAUUAAUACAAACAACCAGAACGAUAUACACAACGAUAUCGAAUUGAGAAUUGAAUCAAGAUACAAGGGACAUUAUGUGCUGAGAAAAUGGUUUU